rnacentral:piRNA from 1 species
UAGAAAGCAUAUUCAUAGUUA